rnacentral:lncRNA from 1 species
UAGAAUGUUUGGUUCACUAUAAUUCUUAGGUCUUUUUCACAUGAAUUGCUCCCUACUUAUGCCUUCCCUCUCUUGUACUUAGUAAAUUGAUUUUUUUUGAGCCAGAAGGAAGAGCUCUUCAUUUACUUCUUUUUUAGAUUGCUUUUAAAAACAAAUUUCAAGAACUUAUUUUUUCUUCCUCUCAUAUUCACCUAACUACUGAAAAGAAAGAAACAGAGAAAGGAAGAAUAAGAAGGGAAGAAAGGAAAAAGAAAAAAAGAAAGAGGGAAAGAAGGAAGAAAGGAAUAUUUCCUUUGGCCUCCAUAGAAGUACUUUCUUAUAAAAGAUAGAUAUGAAGAAACAAAACAAGCACAAAAUUGGCUAUAUGUGGAAAGGCAUGUUGUCUUCUGCACCUCUAGUCCAUCACCUAUCAUUCAAGACAUGGGAAGUUGCUUCAUUAUCAGUAGUCAGCAAAAUUGGGACUUUUUUUUUUUUGGAUGGCACUGUGGAAGAAUUUCACACUGCGAUAUCAUACUUACAUAAUGGACCCACCCACACAUGUUCUCCUACAGAACUCGCUCUCUUGGAUUGUUUCUUUGCAAAGGGUACAUCAAGGACAAUCUGUCUUUCAAAUGAAAAGCAUGAAACUUCAAUUGUCCUCAGAUCCAGAAACCAUUUUUACAAUUGGAAUCUUUAA